rnacentral:misc_RNA from 1 species
CUCCUUUCCCACAGCUAUUUAAGUCUCCCAAGUACCAUAUCACUAUCCCAUAUCUAACCUUCUCUGCGACAGACUACUCUGUCAUUGCCAACUAGCUCAUUAUUCUUGUACCUUCAUCUAGCACUAAAUUCUGCAAGACUUUUAACACUUUAAUGGCUUCUUCUUCAUCAUCAAAAAGGCUCUGGGAGCAUCUUCAAGAGAAACAAGAACCCUUUACAUUAGACAUUUACCUCUCAGAAAGAAGGAUGAUGCAGAGACCAUCAAGGUGCAAUUUAACAAGGAGAAGUAUUUUACACACCAGAAAGAUUCUCAAGUUAUUAUUAUACAAGCUCAUUCGCUCUGAACACAGCCAGAAUGUAUUGGACUGCCGUAAGUCUCACAAAUAUGACCUUAUAUGUAAGACGUCCGAAAAGCUCCUGCAGAGUGGAGGAUCAAAAGGGUAUUCUAGUAGAGGCAGUUCAGUUGCAUAUCAUGAGUCUCUCAAAUGUGGCAUAAAAGAUUCACCUUGUAACAAAUAUCAGGCCACACUUGUUGCCGAGACUUCCCAACCCCAUGAACAUAGCAGUUUCACAAAGCAAGAAGUUUCUACAGAUAUAAACCUUCACUGGGAAUGCGAAGAAGAUGGUAUGAAACUGGGUCCAAGAUCAUUACUAAAUGAAGCCACACCAUCAGACACAGGUAGUAACAAUAAGUUAUUUAGUAACAUUAAGCUAUUUAUCUGAUCAAAUACAAUUCGAAAGAGACUCAGAUAUUUAUUUCUAGUGAACAAUUUGCAAUAAUCCUUCUCACAAUGAACAGGGUAUGACCACCUACCUAACAAAGAAGAAAGUGCACCAACUUCAAGCACCAUUAUUGCGGAGGAAGACUCCAUAUUUUCAGCUUUUCUAACAGAAUUACUAGUGAAGCCACUGGUUGAGAAGCAGAAUCAUGCUGGAUUCAUGGAGCUACAGGAGACAAUUGGUCCAGUUUUUUCUGAGCUUCUGAAAAACAGAACGGUAUUGCAGCAGACUAAGCAGCUUAUUUUUGAUUUUAUUAAGGAAGCCAUAGAAAACCAUCAAAGGAAGAACGGGAAUCAGAAGUCCACUCAGGAAUUCAUGGAUCUAGAAAAGCUUGGAAAAAUCAUCCGUGACAAAAUUUGCCCAUGGGAAAACCAAAAUGCAGCCCAGCACAUAAAUUUUGAUGUCUCUAGCAUAGUAGAAGAAUGGGAUGAUAUACAGCAACUACACAGGAAGAUAGGGAUAGAAAUUGGAGAUGCUAUCAUGGAUGAAAUAAUUCAGGAAGUAAUUAGUUUCUUUUUUUCUGUAAAGUACUGUGUUACUAAUCAGGGCUCUUCUUGAAGUGGAGAACUACGUAUGGUUCAAUACUACAAGUGUUCAAUCACAACCGGCAGCUGAACUAAAAUGAGUUCAGCCAAUGAACCCAAGCUACUGAGCUUCAGUUGUUCAAAUUCUCAAUAUCAUGAGUUAAGAGAUUGGAAAACCAUACCAUAUCCUUAUCAUUGUGUUAACUUGGAACAAAAUUAUUGUAAGCAUUUAGAAAAUAAAUCAAUAUCAGC